rnacentral:rRNA from 1 species
CCUAUGGGGCGCAGCAGGCGAGAAAACUUUGCAAAGGGAGAAAGCCCGGCAAGGUUAAUCCGAGUGCCUGCGUUAAGGAAGCCUUCUUCUAGUA